rnacentral:lncRNA from 1 species
ACAUGGAACAGUAUUCGCACAUAUUCAGGUAAUGUCUAUAAUAAUUAUUGUUGUGAUAAAUUUAAAAAAAAUACCGGGACUAUAAUAACAUGAUUAUUACAAUUGUAUUUUGAAUAAUAUUGCGUAUGUGGUAAGAGCUUAGAUCAUAUACAAUAGAUAGAGUUACGGCUAAGGUAUAGGCUAACCUUAUGUGAAACGAAUAUGUCGCCAACAUAUCAAGAGGGCGUGUAACUACUGCGUAUGCGUCGUCCUCUUCAUAAUGCCCUCUUGAUAUGUUAGAGACACGUUUUAUUGCUUAUAGCUCUAACCAUUGUGCAUGAUUUAAGGAUAAGAGUGUAUCGUAUACAGAGUGAUCAACAUAAUAUUAAGACACUAUCAUUAUCUCGAAAAAUAUUAACUUGUUUGGAAUUUGUUUUUCUGAACAAUUAAGAAAUAAGUAGCUUUAAGAUAUUACAUUAUUCCUUUUGUGUCACUUUUAUUUUUUAAGUUAACGACUACCUACUUUUUAAUGCCAAAAAAUUCCAUAAACAGGUGAAGUAGGUAUUAGUUUAAAUCGAUUUUGGUGUCAACAUUUUAAAUUUCCGUGAAUCCGUUGCCGAGAUAUUCCACUUUUAAGGUUCUGUGGGAGGAAGUAUAGUGGUACAUAAUUUGUUUAACAACACAAUGAACAGCUUUAAUAAUGUUCACCCCUGAAAAUAAGGGCCAAAUAAAUUAACUAUAAUGUAAAAUUGUAUAGCUGCUUGUUUCUUAAAUAAACUAAAAAUCAAAUUCUGAAAAAAAUGUAAUACUUUCGAAAUAAUAAGUUUCCUACGUUAUUUUGAUCACUCUGUAUAUUAUAUUAUAUGCUGAGUUUUAGGAAGAAAACGAGAGGCGAACUCGUACGCAUAUCUGCCGCAGUGAUGGGAAUAGAAUUUUCGUACGCAGCCGAGACAGCGUUCGUAUCACCGACAUUAUUAAACAUCGGAGUUGACCAUCAACACAUGACUCUUGUAUGGGCUGUAUCUCCUUGCAUUGGGUUUUUCGUCACGCCCAUCUUGGGGUCGUUGAGCGACAGGUGUACCCUUCCGUUAGGCCGACGCAGGCCUUUCCUUAUAGUUCUGGCAUGUGGAGUUUUUUUAGGUAA